rnacentral:rRNA from 1 species
UACGUAGGGGGCUAGCGUUGUCCGGAAUCAUUGGGCGUAAAGCGCGCGUAGGCGGCCAGAUAAGUCCGGUGUGAAAGCCACAGGCUCAACCUGUGAAUGCCGCUGGAAACUGUCUGGCUAGAGUCCGGGAGGGGCGAGUGGAAUUCCGGGUGUAGCGGUGGAAUGCGUAGAGAUCCGGAAGAACACCGGAGGCGAAGGCGGCUUGCUGGGCAUUGUCUGACGCUGAGGCGCGAAAGCGUGGGGAGCGAACAGG